GUUCGUGUGACUCUGUGUGCGUGUUCAUGUGUGUGCACGUAUGUGUAUGCCUCCAAAGCCUUUCAUUUGCUUAUGUACCCCUGUUACGGUUUAGACCCCCAAAACUCUCAUGCUCAGGGGCAGGGCUUUUGGGAGGGGACUGGAUCCAGCCUCAGAGCUGACGUGCCGUCAGGAGGUGGGGCCUAGUUAGAGGGGUGUUGCUGGGGGCGUGGCCUGGAAGGGUUUCUCUCCUUUCCUGGCUCCUCCCUUCUCUCUGCUUCCGGCCGCCAUGAUGUGAGCAGCUUUCCUCCACUCAGACCCUUCAACCACGGUAUUUCUGCCUUGGAGCUGGCCAGCGGUGCAAGGACCGAGACUUCUAAAACUGGCUGGGAAUCAAAUCCAGAGCCUUCACUCUACUACAUCCUCAGCCUUAUUAAGUUUUCAUUUUGAGACCGGACCUUGCUAAGUCACUAAGUUGCCCAGGAUGGGCUGGAAUUUGUAAUCCUCUUGCUUCAGCUUCCAGAGUAUUGGGAUUACAGGUGCCAUAGCUGGGAUCAAAUGUAACAGAAACAAGGGUCCGAGUGCCAGGAGAGGAGAAGGAAGCUGCUCAGUUGGAGGCCUAAGGCCACUUGACCCCAGGACUCUCUCUCCUCCCUCUUGGUGCCUGCCGAGUGUCUGGUCCACAGCAAGCGUGCUCAGGGUGGCUGCUGAAUGAGGGACUGUUCCCGCCUCUCUACCUCAGACCUCUGUGAUGCAGGCUGUGUCUUCAACACCUGCCCCUGGCUGUGCUUUGCUUCUGGUCUCUGGAAGCAGAGAGGGAAACCGAAGUCCGCCAGGGCAGGUUGGUGUCCUUCAGGGCUGAGAGGCCACCGUGGGAAUCAAGGAAGAGGGGAUGUGGGAGAGACCUUAGCAGUUCUGGUGCUGGUCUUGCGAUGGAGAUCGACCUUCGGCUGUGGCUCAGGGCAAAGGUGACCCGGUUACUCUACUGCUUAAACUCCUCAGUGUGAUGAUAAUAACAGGAACUUAGGAGCUAUUGCUGUGUGCCUCCUUCUUUUACGGUGUGAAGGCCACCACUGAAAUGGAUGUGUGCCAACAAAAUUCACAUGCUGAAAUUCAGUCCCUGUGAGACGGUAUUAAUAGGUGGGACCUCCAAGGGGGUUUAGGUCACCUCCAUAAGGCAGAGCCCUCAGGCGUGGGAUCAGAAUCUGUGGAAGGGCUUGAGGGAGCCUGCCUGUCCCCUGUCCCCUGCCAAGUGGGGACUCGGUGAAAGGGUGCCGUCUGUGAGGCACAGACACUGAACCUGGUACCUGGACCUUGGACUUCUCGGCCAACGCUGGAGUUCUGGAGAGCAGUACUGGAGAACCGGAAGUACUUCUCAGUGCCGAGAGCAGCCCAGUCUGAGGUGUUUACUUCAGCCUGAACAGACCACACAGGGGACCCCUAAAGUCCCGCCCAGAGCCUCUGCCGUCAUUUGCUGUGAGACUCCCUGUUUCAGUGAUGAAGAAGAGUCUUGGAGGCCUGAAGGACUUGCCCACGGUUAUCUCACUUCAGAGUCGGGCUCCCCCGCUUCUCGGCGGCCUUAUUCCUCCCCGGGGUUGCACCGUCCCCCCUGUGUCCCUCGGCGCCCCCACGCAGAUUUAUUGCAGUCCUCGGGGGUCUGGUUUCCCGCACACGCCUCCUCCGAGCGCCAAUGCCCAGGUCCCAGCGGCCUCUCCGCCACCCAUC
ensembl:lncRNA